rnacentral:rRNA from 1 species
UGGGGAAUAUUGGACAAUGGGCGCAAGCCUGAUCCAGCCAUGCCGCGUGAGUGAUGAAGGCCCUAGGGUUGUAAAGCUCUUUCACCGGUGAAGAUAAUGACGGUAACCGGAGAAGAAGCCCCGGCUAACUUCGUGCCAGCAGCCGCGGUAAUACGAAGGGGGCUAGCGUUGUUCGGAUUUACUGGGUGUAAAGCGCACGUAGGCGGACUAUUAAGUCAGGGGUGAAAUCCCGGGGCUCAACCCCGGAACUGCCUUUGAUACUGGUAGUCUUGAGUUCGAGAGAGGUGAGUGGAAUUCCGAGUGUAGAGGUGAAAUUCGUAGAUAUUCGGAGGAACACCAGUGGCGAAGGCGGCUCACUGGCUCGAUACUGACGCUGAGGUGCGAAAGCGUGGGGAGCAAACAGG